UCUUGGAAGCAGACGAUUCUCCUUCUCACAUUAGAAGGUCAGUACUAAAGUAGGCUAAUGCCUACAUCACUUACCUCACCUCACUUCAUCACGCAAGCAUCUUAUAAUUUCACAGCAUCACAACAAGAAGAAGGGAUGCUUUAUCCAAAAAAGAAAAAAAAAAACAAAAGCAAACAAGCUCUCAGACCCACCUCAGCUAUAUUGGAAUGAAAGUGCUGAAAAGAAAGGAAAUUUGUUUUCAAUAUGCACAAACCUGGACCUGUACAAGGAAAGGCACUCACCCAUCUUAACCAAACAGGCAGUAGAAGAAUCUGGCAGUGUGUAUAUAAAGUGCCUAAUAUCCAGUAUCAUCACUAUCAGCCAUUAUUGUUGUCAUUACAAAGGAGGGCAUCAUUCAAUGGAAAGAGAAUUUUAAAUACUAUACUGUAAUAUCUUGCAUGCUAUAGUAGACACUAACUUCCUGUGUUCCCCACCCUUGGUUCCAGGAAGUCAAUUAUUUGUUUAUUGCCAAAUCGAUUAUUUUUGCCUCUUCUAGGAUUUCAAUAUAAAGAAUUAUACUUUAUGUACAAUUUUGUGUCUGGCUUCUCUUGGUCAGCAUAAUG